GUCUAUGGCCAUGCCACCCUGAACAAGCCGAAUGUCUGAUCUCGAAAGCUAAGCAGGGUCAGGCCUGGUUAGUACUUGGAUGGGAGACCACCUAGGAAGAUCAGGUGCUAUAGGCA
rnacentral:rRNA from 1 species